rnacentral:tRNA from 1 species
AGGAGCGUGAGGUAAAGGUAGCCUGACUGAUUCCAAACCAGUUCGUGCGGGUUCAAAUCCUGCCGCUCCUGCCA